GCCCCGGUAGGGUAGCAUGGAUAUCCUGAAAGCCUGCGGAGCUUUUGACAUGGGUUCAAAUCCCAUCCGGGGCA
rnacentral:tRNA from 2 species